rnacentral:miRNA from 1 species
GGAGGAGAAGUUGAGGCAGGCGGUGAAGCAGGUGCUGAAGUGUGACGUGACUCAGAGCCAGCCGCUGGGGGCUGUCCCCUUACCCCCGGCUGACUGCCUGCUUAGCACGCUGUGUCUGGAUGCCGCCUGCCCAGACCUCCCCACC